AUUGAACGCUGGCGGCAGGCCUAACACAUGCAAGUCGAACGGUAACAGGAAGAAGCUUGCUUCUUUGCUGACGAGUGGCGGACGGGUGAGUAAUGUCUGGGAAACUGCCUGAUGGAGGGGGAUAACUACUGGAAACGGUAGCUAAUACCGCAUAACGUCUCAAGACCAAAGAGGGGGACCUUCGGGCCUCUUGCCAUCGGAUGUGCCCAGAUGGGAUUAGCUAGUAGGUGGGGUAACGGCUCACCUAGGCGACGAUCCCUAGCUGGUCUGAGAGGAUGACCAGCCACACUGGAACUGAGACACGGUCCAGACUCCUACGGGAGGCAGCAGUGGGGAAUAUUGCACAAUGGGCGCAAGCCUGAUGCAGCCAUGCCGCGUGUAUGAAGAAGGCCUUCGGGUUGUAAAGUACUGUCAGCGGGGAGGAAGGGAGUAAAGUUAAUACCUUUGCUCAUUGACGUUACCCGCAGAAGAAGCACCGGCUAACUCCGUG
rnacentral:rRNA from 1 species